UUAACCCUUCAGGUGCCAUGGACCUUGGCAUCUGAGCACUUAGACAGUGAGAGGGGGCUUCCUCCAUCUCCCACAAGCAAUGACACCUAGUACACCCUACCAGAGGAUAAUAGGAGGCAGAGAAAAUCACAAUACACUGCAAUAAAGAAGCACUACAGUGUAUUGUACAAGUCAUUGCAGGUUGAAGUCCCCUAAGGAUAGUUAAAGGGGUUGGUGGCAUACCGCUAGUAUAUGCCUACAAAAUUUGAUAGCUGUGGGGGUCCCACCUCUAGGACCCGCAGCUAUCUUCAAAAUAAAGCCCACAAAGUGAACGAAAUCAGACUGCGCAUGCACGGUCAUCCUCCAUUCAUUUGUAUGUGAGUGCCGAAAAUAGACAAAAAUGGGAAGUGCACUGCACAAGCGUGGCCAGCACUCAGUUCACUUCUAUGGGGCUAUUUUCGGCUGCCCCAUAGACACGAAUACAGUGCGGCUGCGAAUGCACAGUCCGCUUUCCUUCAAUUUGUAGGCUCCGUUUUAGAGUUAGUUAUCAGAUAGCAGCUAUCAGAUAUUGGUAGCAUAUCCUAGCGAUAUGCCACCAAUGCCUUUGAUAACCCAACUCCUUUAAAAAAAAAUCUGAACAAAUGUUUAUAAAAUAUAAAAAACUACAGUUUCCCCUUUACUCAUAUAAAAACAAUAAAAGUGAACAUAAUUAGUAUUGCAGCACUUCAAAAUGUCCAAAUUAUUAAGAUAUAUGAUUUAUCAUGCACAGUGAACACCAUAAAAAGUACUACUGCCAGAACUGUUGUUUUUUGGA